ACGGAAGGCAGCAGUGGGGAAUAUUGCGCAAUGGAGGAAACUCUGACGCAGUGACGCCGCGUAUAGGAAGAAGGUUUUCGGAUUGUAAACUAUUGUCGUUAGGGAAGAUACAAGACAGUACCUAAGGAGGAAGCCCCGGCUAACUAUGUGCCGGCAGCCGCGGUAAUACAUAGGGGGCAAGCGUUAUCCGGAUUUAUUGGGUGUAAAGGGUGCGUAGACGGAGAAACAAGUUGGUUGUGAAAUCCCUCGGCUCAACUGAGGAACUGCAACCAAAACUAUUUCCCUUGAGUGUCGGAGAGGAAAGUGGAGUUCCUAGUGUAGCGGUGAAAUGCGUAGAUAUUAGGAGGAACACCAGUGGCGAAGGCGACUUUCUGGACGAUAACUGACGUUGAGGCACGAAAGUGUGGGGAGCAAACAGGAUUAGAUACCCUGUA
rnacentral:rRNA from 1 species